rnacentral:rRNA from 1 species
UAUCUCUGUAGAGUCUGCAUAUCAAUAAGCGGAGGAAAAGAAACUAACAAGGAUUCCCCUAGUAACGGCGAGUGAAGCGGGAAGAGCUCAAAUUUGAAAUCUUCAAGGUUUGACCUUGACGAAUUGUAGUUUAAAGAAGUGUUUUCGGUUAGAGGAGUUUAGGUAAAAGUUCUUUGGAAUAGGACAUCAUAGAGGGUGAGAAUCCCGUAUUUGACCAUUAUUUCCAGCUGUGUGAUACACUUUCAAAGAGUCGGAUUGUUUGGGAAUGCAGUCCAAAAUGGGUGGUAAAUUUCAUCUAAAGCUAAAUAUUGGCGAGAGACCGAUAGCGAACAAGUACCGUGAGGGAAAGAUGAAAAGAACUUUGAAAAGAGAGUUAAACAGUACGUGAAAUUGUCAAAAGGGAAGCGUUUGACACCAGUGUUGUUUUCUCGAAAAUCAAUUAAAAAUGCUGGGAUUUUGUGUUGUAUUGACUUUAUCAGCUUUCUGCACUUUUUUCUAUUCUUUUUUAAUGCUCUUUUCGUUUAACAAGUCAACAUCAAUUUCUUUUGUUGUAAAAGGGUUAUUGGAAGGUGGCUUUCUCUUCGGAGAAAGUGUUUAUAGCCUUUAACCUCUGCAAUCGGAGAGAUUGAGGUCUGCAGCGUAGAUCCUUCGGGGUUAGAUACAUUUGUGCUAAGUUAUAGUCUUUUAUAGACAACUUGUUGACUAUGAUUGAUCUUGUAGCUUACUCGCUUAUGCUAUUUUACCUACGCUUAGGAUGUUGAUCUGUAGUGCGUGCGC